rnacentral:rRNA from 1 species
UACGGGGGGGGCAAGCGUUGUUCGGAAUUACUGGGCGUAAAGGGCUCGUAGGUGGCCAACUAAGUCAGACGUGAAAUCCCUCGGCUUAACCGGGGAACUGCGUCUGAUACUGGAUGGCUUGAGUUCGGGAGAGGGAUGCGGAAUUCCAGGUGUAGCGGUGAAAUGCGUAGAUAUCUGGAGGAACACCGGUGGCGAAGGCGGCAUGCUGGACCGACACUGACACUGAGGAGCGAAAGCCAGGGGAGCAAACGGG